rnacentral:rRNA from 1 species
UUUUCCGGUUGAUCCUGCCGGACCUGACUGCUAUCGGACUGAUACUAAGCCAUGCGAGUCAUUGUAGCAAUACAAGGCAGACGGCUCAGUAACGCGUAGUCAAUCUACCCUAUGGACGGGAAUAACCUCGGGAAACUGAGAAUAAUGCCCGGUAGAACAUUAUGCCUGGAAUGGUUUAUGUUUCAAAUGAUUUAUCGCCAUAGGAUGGGACUGCGGCCUAUCAGUUUGUUGGUGAGGUAAUGGCCCACCAAGACUAUUACAGGUACGGGCUCUGAGAGGAGUAGCCCGGAGAUGGGUACUGAGACACGGACCCAGGCCCUAUGGGGCGCAGCAGGCGAGAAAACUUUGCAAUGUGCGAAAGCACGACAAGGUUAAUCCGAGUGGUUUCUGCUAAAGAAACCUUUUGUCAGUCCUAGAAACACUAACGAAUAAGGGGUGGGCAAGUUCUGGUGUCAGCCGCCGCGGUAAAACCAGCACCUCAAGUGGUCAGGAUGAUUAUUGGGCCUAAAGCAUCCGUAGCUCGUUUUGUAAGUUUUCGGUUAAAUCCAUGCGCUUAACGUAUGGGCUGCCGGGAAUACUGCAUAACUAGGAAGUGGGGAGAGGUAGACGGUACUCGGGAGGAAGGGGGUAAAAUCCUUUGAUCUCUUGAUGACCACCUGUGGCGAAAGCGGUCUACCAGAACACGUUCGACGGUGAGGGAUGAAAGCUGGGGGAGCAAACCGGAUUAGAUACCCGGGUAGUCCCAGCUGUAAACUAUGCAAACUCAGUGAUGCAUUGGCUUAUGGCCAAUGCAGUGCUGCAGGGAAGCCGUUAAGUUUGCCGCCUGGGAAGUACGUACGCAAGUAUGAAACUUAAAGGAAUUGGCGGGGGAGCAC